UACGUAGGGGGCGAGCGUUGUCCGAAGUUACUGGGCGUAAAGCGCGUGUAGGCGGGUCUUUAAGUGAGGGGUGAAAGGUUUGGGCUUAACCCAGACACUGCCUUUCAUACUGGAGACCUUGAGUGCGGGAGAGGCGAGUGGAAUGGUCGGUGUAGCGGUGAAAUGCGUAGAUAUCGGGAGGAACACCUGUGGCGAAAGCGGCUCACUGGACCACAACUGACGCUGAGGCGCGAAAGCUAGGGGAGCAAACAGG
rnacentral:rRNA from 1 species